rnacentral:rRNA from 1 species
GACGAACGCUGGCGGCGUGCUUAACACAUGCAAGUCGAGCGGUAAGGCCCUUUCGGGGGUACACGAGCGGCGAACGGGUGAGUAACACGUGGGUGACCUGCCCUUAGCUCUGGGAUAAGCCUGGGAAACUGGGUCUAAUACCGCAUACGAUCUCUGCGGCGCGUGCUGUGGGGAUGAAACCCUUCGGGGGCGAGAUGACGGGCUCGCGGCCUAUCAGCUAGUUGGCGGGGUAACGGCCCACCAAGGCGACGACGGGUAGCUGGUCUGAGAGGAUGGCCAGCCACAUUGGGACUGAGAUACGGCCCAGACUCCUACGGGAGGCAGCAGUGGGGAAUAUUGCGCAAUGGCCGAAAGGCUGACGCAGCGACGCCGCGUGUGGGAGGAAGCCC